rnacentral:rRNA from 1 species
AUUGAACGCUGGCGGCAGGCCUAACACAUGCAAGUCGAGCGGAUGAAGGGAGCUUGCUCCUGGAUUCAGCGGCGGACGGGUGAGUAAUGCCUAGGAAUCUGCCUGGUAGUGGGGGAUAACGUCCGGAAACGGGCGCUAAUACCGCAUACGUCCUGAGGGAGAAAGUGGGGGAUCGUCGGACCUCACGCUAUCAGAUGAGCCUAGGUCGGAUUAGCUAGUUGGUGGGGUAAAGGCCUACCAAGGCGACGAUCCGUAACUGGUCUGAGAGGCUGAUCAGUCACACUGGAACUGAGACACGGUCCAGACUCCUGAGGGAGGCAGCAGUGGGGAAUAUUGGACAAUGGGCGGAAGCAUGAUCCAGCCAUGCCGCGUGUGUGAAGAAGGUCUUCGGAUUGUAAAGCACUUUAAGGUGGGAGGAAGGGCAGUAAGUUAAUACGUUGCUGUUUUGACGUUACCAGCAGAAUAAGCACCGGCUAACUUCGUG